GAAAAGAACUUUGAAGAAAGAGUUCAAGAGAACGUGAAACUACCACGAGGUUAAAACGGAUGGACAUGCGUAGCGAAAAGGGGUCUCAUCUCCUCGAGCCUCGCGGCGCGGGUGCGAUCUAGACCGUCUUCGUCCGGCCUCCCUCGCGGAGGUUUCCGGCUCCGAAGAAGGCUAUCGUAUCGGCGGACGUCGGGGAAAGGGGGGUGGAUUUCCCUCCUUAGUACGCGGUCGCGGCCGCUCGGAGGUUGUCUGUGAUCGGGAGCUCGGGAACUGAGCCGCCUUCGGCCUCUCUCUUUUUAAGGGGGAGGUACGGAGCCGCGGAUCGGGGACUCUCCCGAAUUCUGACGGACUCUCGAACGGUUCGCCAUAGAAGGGGCCCUAGUAGUCGUAGUUUUACUACCUCCGCUAGCAGCAGCCCCUUACGCGGCCGAUAUUCGCGAUCGUCCAUCCGUCCCGUCYUGAAACACGGACCAAGGAGUCUAACAUGCGCGCGAGUCGAAGGGAUAAGUCUAAUCCCCGAGGCGCAACGAAAGCGAAAAAGGUCCCCCCUCUCGCCGCUUCGUGGCCUCCGCCCUAGCUGCCGCCGCUGUCCCCCGUUCUUCUUCGUCGUCCGUUCGCACUUUCCUCCCUUCGGGGAGGGGGGGGCGUCGGCGGCGGCGGGGUCGGGACGAUGGUGACGGUAGCAUUACGGGGCGGUGGUUCGGCGGUAGUAGCAAGGGGGUUCCGUUGGGCCGAUCCGAGCUCCUUCCUAUUAGAAAAUAUUUUUUUUUUAAUAAAGGGGGACCGGCGCAGGCCCGGGGCUCGUCGCUACCCUCUCGUUGCCCUUCGCGGGGCUUCGUGACGGGCGGCGGGCACCUCGAGCGUACAUGCUAGUACCCGAAAGAUGGUGAUCUAUGCCUGGCCAGGACGAAGCCAGAGGAAACUCUGGUGGAGGUCCGUAGCGAUUCUGACGUGCAAAUCGAUCGUCAGAGCUGGGUAUAGGGCGAAGACCA
rnacentral:rRNA from 1 species